UGGGCCUGAUGGUUGUAUUGUCGUUUGC
rnacentral:piRNA from 1 species